UGGCGAACGGGUGAGUAACACGUGGGCAAUCUGCCCUGCACUCUGGGACAAGCCCUGGAAACGGGGUCUAAUACCGGAUAAUACUUUCUCCCGCAUGGGAGAGGGUUAAAAGCUCCGGCGGUGCAGGAUGAGCCCGCGGCCUAUCAGCUUGUUGGUGGGGUGAUGGCCUACCAAGGCGACGACGGGUAGCCGGCCUGAGAGGGCGACCGGCCACACUGGGACUGAGACACGGCCCAGACUCCUACGGGAGGCAGCAGUGGGGAAUAUUGCACAAUGGGCGAAAGCCUGAUGCAGCGACGCCGCGUGAGGGAUGACGGCCUUCGGGUUGUAAACCUCUUUCAGCAGGGAAGAAGCGAAAGUGACGGUACCUGCAGAAGAAGCGCCGGCUAACUACGUGCCAGCAGCCGCGGUAAUACGUAGGGCGCAAGCGUUGUCCGGAAUUAUUGGGCGUAAAGAGCUCGUAGGCGGCUUGUCACGUCGG
rnacentral:rRNA from 2 species